UGGGGAAUAUUGCACAGUGGGCGCAAGCCUGAUGCAGCCAUGCCGCGUGUAUGAAGAAGGCCUUCGGGUUGUAAAGUACUUUCAGCGGGGAGGAAGGCGAUAAGGUUAAUAACCUUGUCGAUUGACGUUACCCGCAGAAGAAGCACCGGCUAACUCCGUGCCAGCAGCCGCGGUAAUACGGAGGGUGCAAGCGUUAAUCGGAAUUACUGGGCGUAAAGCGCACGCAGGCGGUCUGUCAAGUCGGAUGUGAAAUCCCCGGGCUCAACCUGGGAACUGCAUUCGAAACUGGCAGGCUAGAGUCUUGUAGAGGGGGGUAGAAUUCCAGGUGUAGCGGUGAAAUGCGUAGAGAUCUGGAGGAAUACCGGUGGCGAAGGCGGCCCCCUGGACAAAGACUGACGCUCAGGUGCGAAAGCGUGGGGAGCAAACA
rnacentral:rRNA from 1 species